rnacentral:lncRNA from 1 species
CUCUUCUCCUCCAUAGCCGAGCGUCUUCUCCUCCAUGGUUGGCUGUGUCUCGUGCUCUCAUCUCCACACUUCUCCAUAGGUCCAUGGUGGCUGUGUCUCGUGCUCUCAUCUCCACACUCCUCCAUAGGCGGUCGUCUUGUCCUCCAUAGUCGGUUGUGUCCCCGUGCUCUGAUCUCCACUCAUCCUCGACAGCCGGGUCGAGUUUCCUCUGUUUUCCUCUCUUCAUUCAAGGAGUGUCUAGUGCCAAAUUUAUCACCACCCCGUCUCCACAAUCACAACCCUCUCUCAAUCUUCACUCACAAUCUCAUCAUCUUCCAAAACCCACCUCAAACAACUCCGGAAUAAACUCAAAACCAACCUAAAAACCAGAGUCUACUCCAGAAAAAAAAAAAGGAAAUCUUAUAUUCGGAAGAAACGUAAGAGGCAAAUGCGAGACAAUGAAGAAAUGGAGGAAAGAAAGCACUGAAGAAGGAGAUAGAGACCCCUCUCAACAUUAAUCUUCAGUCGAGUUUCUGUUUUCUCCAUUUUUUACCGAGUUUCCCGAUAUUUUCCUCU